CUUCGGGUGGCAGCAGUGGGGAAUAUUGCACAAUGGGCGCAAGCCUGAUGCAGCCAUGCCGCGUGUAUGAAGAAGGCCUUCGGGUUGUAAAGUACUUUCAGCGGGGAGGAAGGGAGUAAAGUUAAUACCUUUGCUCAUUGACGUUACCCGCAGAAGAAGCACCGGCUAACUCCGUGCCAGCAGCCGCGGUAAUACGGAGGGUGCAAGCGUUAAUCGGAAUUACUGGGCGUAAAGCGCACGCAGGCGGUUUGUUAAGUCUGAUGUGAAAUCCCCGGGCUCAACCUGGGAACUGCAUCUGAUACUGGCAAGCUUGAGUCUCGUAGAGGGGGGUAGAAUUCCAGGUGUAGCGGUGACAUGCGUAGAGAUCUGGAGGAAUACCGGUGGCGAAGGCGGCCCCCUGGACGAAGACUGACGCUCAGGUGCGAAAGCGUGGGGAGCAAACAGGAUUAGAUACCCGAGUAGUC
rnacentral:rRNA from 1 species